rnacentral:lncRNA from 1 species
AUGGGGAUACGGGGAUGGGGACAAAAUAGGGACAAGAGCAAACGAGGGGGGACAGGGACACGGAUACGGGGACGGGGGACACGGGGAGGGGAUAGAACGGGGGCAAGGACACGGGGAUGGGGACACGGACGCGGACGCGGGGCCGGGGGCACCUUGUCGGCCGCGUAGUGCCCCUUGUCCAGCAGCGCGGUGCCCAUGGCCACGCACGCAUCGAAGCUGUCGGCCCGCGCCUCCACCUCCGCCUUGAUGCUCUGGUGGUUCUUGAUGACCAGGUCGGCCGAGGACACGUCCCUGCGCCACCCGCGGGGACGGGGACGGGCUCAGCACCGCCGCCGCAUCCCCGUUUCCCCCCUCCUACCUCCCCGCGGCCGCCCCCCUCACCGCGGGCGCUCCUGGCCCUCGAUCUGCAGGCGGACGCCGUCCAUCCAGAGCAGCAGGUCGCGCACGGCGCGCAGGAAGCGGAACUUGUCCACGGUGUCGAGGAGCAGCCGGCGGCGGCCCUGGCUGCUGCCGCGCAGCUCGGCCCACGCCUCGCUCACCGCCCGCUCGUGCCGCCGGAUGUCGGCCGCCUUCUCGCCGGCGUACGCCUUCUCCAGCCGCGCCGCGUCCUCCUGCACCUGACGGACCUGCGGGCGAAGAGGUCGCGCCCCACCUCGUCCGGCAGCUGCUUCUGCUUGUGCUGCACCUGCGCCAGAGUCUCGCGGGCGUCGUGGUAGAAGCGGUGCAGCUCGUAGGAGGCCGCCAGCAUCUGGGAGCGCGUGUCGAUCAGCUCCAGCAGGUCGGCCCACGCCUCGUUCAGCCCGUCCUUCCACUCGGCCACCGUGGCGUUCUCCGAGUGCCCCGCCGCGAUCAGCGCGUCCGCCAGCCCGUUGACGCCGUCCACGCGCUCCUGCCCGAUGCUGCUCGUGUCCCGCGAGAACUCCCGGAAUUUGUCCCGCAGCAUCUGCCGGGGAGGUCAGGGGCACGCGUCGGGGACGCGGCGGGGCCACGGGGGCGUCCCCGCCGCCAGCCCCGCGCCGCACCGUGACGUGCUCAGUAGUCCUGGCCCAGCUCGUGGGAGGCGGCCACCACCUCCCGCUCCGAGAUCCACUGCUCCAGGUCGUCCACGUCGCGCUUGAGCUGGCAGAGCCGCUGGUGCUCCUGCAGCUUGGCCCGCCGCUCCUCCGCCAGGUCCUUCAGGCUGGCGUACAGCUUGUCCACCUGGCCCUGGCGCAGCGUCAGGCGCUCGCUGCGGGCACGCCGGGCGUCAGGGGAGGGGUGGGGGCGCGCGGGGCCGGGGGACGACCCCCCCCCGGGGUGAGGCGGGAGGGGAAGGGA